rnacentral:rRNA from 1 species
AGUGCAGUAAUGUACGUAGCUGACUAAUACUAAUCGGUCGAGGGCUUAUCCAAA